UAAAGAUUUUUUUUUUUUUUGAGAGAUAGAUAUUACGCUACCCGUUUCGUUUAUUUCAUUUAGAAAUAAACUUAGCUAGAAAUAUAAAUCAAUUAGGAUUCGAACUUGGGACCUUGGGCACCAACCAUCAAGCCCUUUGCCACUUGCUUUAGGGACGGUCGGUAACAUAUAUAUAAAGAUAACUUGGGACCUUGGGUACCAACCACCAAGUCCUUUGUCACUUGCUUUAUGGACGGUCAGUAACACAUAUAAAGAUAUUAAUAAGAGAUACUCGAAGUUUUAGAUUUGAUAUAUUGAUAAUGUUUAUGUCGCAAUUUUUAACUAGGGAUAAUUGCUAUAUAUCCUUCAUACAUUUGAAAAUAUCCAAUUUAUCUCUAUUUUUUUUCUUUCUAAAAUAUCCCUCAUAUAUCCCCGCAGUUAUCUCCUGUUAAGUUAACUUGAGUUAAACGUGAGUUAAAUAUCUAUCACAAUUUAAAAAAAAUUAAAAUGCCAAUUUUGUCCUUAACUUAAGAGCAAAUAAAAAAUGUUGGCGACGGUAGAAGGGUAUAUUGGAAAAGAUCAAAAGUCAAAAUACUUUUUGUGCUCCUGACUUUAAGGACAAAUAAGAAAGUCAGUGAUGGUAGAAUGAUACAUUUGAAAGGGCAAAAUAGUAAUUUUACAGAGAUAAUAGAGUUCACUAACCGAUUUUAACUCUAGGAAUAUAUUAAAAAUAGGUUGGAACGUAGAAAGGUAUUUUCAAUAUUAGCCUUCUAAGAGGGGUAAAUCGAAAAGUCGAAAACUUUUCAGGGGUAUAUAAGCAAUUGCCCCUUUUAACUAUAUUAUUGCCAUAUAGUAGUAAAAAAAAUGAU
rnacentral:lncRNA from 1 species